rnacentral:tRNA from 1 species
UUCCCGGUGGCCGGCACGGCCGGGCUGUUCACCCCGGCCAGGAAGUUCACCGCCGUGGAGAAGGUCUCGUUCGAGCUCCAGGCCGGGCAG